AGCAGGCGCAAGUGUUUGACUUGGUGAUCUGUCAGCAGAAUGUGUCCGUCCAGCCUGUGCUCCUGCUUCAAUUGAUUGGCCAAUAACGGCAGCACUCAUGUGAUUGAUUGGUGAAAUGGCUAAUUGCGGGGCUGGCAGGCAAGACUGGAUGGGCAAUGACAGCAGCAGAGUGGAGCGGGACGAGGAGAGAAAUCUUGAAAACACAGAGGAUAAGUGCAACUGAUUGCAAAAAUGGCAGUGCUAGUGUGAGCUGACUCAUAACACAUUUGGCAUACCAUUUUAAUGUCAGCUGCAGAAGCAGAAAAUAUCCACUGCGGAAGUGAUCGUUUAAAGAUCUAUAGAACGCACAAAAGAGUACUACAAGUAAAAAGGCAAAAGCCUGCCUUAAGGAAGUUGAAGUUGGAGAAAUAGUUGUUGUUGGCAUCAUCUGUCUCAAAAGACAAUGGAAAGAGCCUGGGAUCUGUCUUUCUUCUACCAUGGGACCUAAGAAGGAAUGUGCAUAGUUUUUAGCAGAUCUUCCAUCUCUACAUUAGAGAUGUGCACAAAUUAAAGUUGCAUGUUUUGUUCUCGAUUGAAUUGAAGACCCAUUUUUUCGUUUUGGCAAUAAACUGUUUAAUCAAACGA
rnacentral:lncRNA from 1 species